UACGAAGGGGGCUAGCGUUGCCUCGGAAUCACUGGGCGUAAAGCGCACGUAGGCGGAUUGCUAAGUCAGGGGUGAAAUCCUGGAGCUCAACUCCAGAACUGCCUUUGAUACUGGCGACCUUGAGUCCGGGAGAGGUGAGUGGAACUGCGAGUGUAGAGGUGAAAUUCGUAGAUAUUCGCAAGAACACCAGUGGCGAAGGCGGCUCACUGGCCCGGUACUGACGCUGAGGUGCGAAAGCGUGGGGAGCAAACAGG
rnacentral:rRNA from 1 species